GACGAACGCUGGCGGCGUGCUUAACACAUGCGAGUCGAACGGAAAGGCCCUGCUUUUGUGGGGUGCUCGAGUGGCGAACGGGUGAGUAACACGUGAGUAACCUGCCCUUGACUUUGGGAUAACUUCAGGAAACUGGGGCUAAUACCGGAUAGGAGCUCCUGCCGCAUGGUGGGGGUUGGAAAGUUUCGGCGGUUGGGGAUGGACUCGCGGCUUAUCAGCUUGUUGGUGGGGUAGUGGCUUACCAAGGCUUUGACGGGUAGCCGGCCUGAGAGGGUGACCGGCCACAUUGGGACUGAGAUACGGCCCAGACUCCUACGGGAGGCAGCAGUGGGGAAUAUUGCACAAUGGGCGGAAGCCUGAUGCAGUAACGCCGCGUGCGGGAUGACGGCCUUCGGGUUGUAAACCGCUUUCGCCUGUGACGAAGCGUGAGUGACGGUAAUGGGUAAAGAAGCACCGGCUAACUACGUG
rnacentral:rRNA from 1 species